GAUGAACGCUGGCGGCGUGCCUAAUACAUGCAAGUCGAGCGAACAGAUGAGGAGCUUGCUCCUCUGACGUUAGCGGCGGACGGGUGAGUAACACGUGGAUAACCUACCUAUAAGACUGGGAUAACUUCGGGAAACCGGAGCUAAUACCGGAUAAUAUAUUGAACCGCAUGGUUCAAUAGUGAAAGACGGUUUUGCUGUCACUUAUAGAUGGAUCCGCGCCGCAUUAGCUAGUUGGUAAGGUAACGGCUUACCAAGGCAACGAUGCGUAGCCGACCUGAGAGGGUGAUCGGCCACACUGGAACUGAGACACGGUCCAGACUCCUACGGGAGGCAGCAGUAGGGAAUCUUCCGCAAUGGGCGAAAGCCUGACGGAGCAACGCCGCGUGAGUGAUGAAGGUCUUCGGAUCGUAAAACUCUGUUAUUAGGGAAGAACAAAUGUGUAAGUAACUAUGCACGUCUUGACGGUACCUAAUCAGAAGGCCACGGCUAACUACGUG
rnacentral:rRNA from 1 species